rnacentral:rRNA from 1 species
GGAAAAGAGCAAUCUGCCCGCAGAGGGACUCGCGUACUAUCAGCUAGUUGGUAGGGUAAAGGCCUACCAAGGCUAUGACGGUUAGCCGGUCUGAGAGGAUGGCCGGCCACACUGGGACUUAGACACGGCCCAGACUCCUACGGGAGGUAGCAAGUGGGAAUUUUGCACAAUGGGCGAAAGCCUGAUGCAGCGACGCCGCGUGAGGGAUGAAGGCCUUCGGGUCGUAAACCUCUGUUGAUGGGGAAGAAUAACUGACGGUACCCAUCGAGGAAGCCUCGGCUAACUCCGUGCCAGCAGCCGCGGCAAGACGGAGGAGGCUAGCGUUGUCCGGAUUGACUGGGCGUAAAGCGCAUGUAGGCGGGGCCUUAAGUCGGUGGUGAAAUAUUCCCGCUCAACGGGAAAACUGCCGCCGAAACUGGGGUUCUUGAGGGCAGGAGGGGAGAGUGGAAUUGCUGGUGUAGCGGUGAAAUGCGUAGAGAUCAGCAAGAACACCCGUGGCGAAGGCGGCUCUCUGGACUGUUCCUGACGCUGAGAUGCGAAAGCCAGGGGAGCGAACGGGAUUAGAUACCCCGGUAGUCCUGGCCGUAAACUAUGGUCACUAGGUGUCGGGAGAUCGACCCUCUCGGCGCCGUAGCUAACGCAUUAAGUGACCCGCCUGGGGAGUACGGCCGCAAGGCUGAAACUCAAAGGAAUUGACGG